UAAAAGAUAAGCUAAUUAAGCUAUUGGGUUCAUACCCCUUUUAUAAAAAUUCUAAUUUUUUUCUUUUAA
rnacentral:tRNA from 1 species